GAACUAUUUUUUACCGGUAUUUGAGAUAUAAAGAAGGAAAUUUUAUUCACACUGGAAUCUGUUACACAAGGUUAUCGUGUAUAUUUUUACAUUAUAACCUUUUUUCCAAAGCUAAACACCGGUGUAUUAUACCGUGCCGCUCCCUAGCUGAUUUGGGGAGCGCUUCGCUGAGUACAUUCCGAAAACACGUAUUGCCUUAUGAAGAGGAAACAUUCUAUUGCAAAAAAUCAUGUACUUUGUGAAAUUGAGACCCAUUUCCUACGGACACUUGAAAGAGCCUGAUUUAAAAUAUAUAUGUACGUGUAUUGGUCAUCAAACGAACAGACAGACACACUUGAUCCAAACUCACGAGCCAUCAAUGUCGUUUUUGUUGCCACCUUUUAUAAUAGAAAUACAUGUACACAAGUGUUUGUCAUAUGUAACAUAAAAGUCCAGGUUUGCCAUUUGAUUAUCUUGUAUAAUUAUAUGUAAUAAGAUUUAAAAAUGAUAUACAAAAGUGCACCGUCUGUAUUCUGGGUUUUUAGGUGGUGAAGGAUGCAGACUAUAUGCUGUAGUCAGCAAACGUCCGGUUAAACAGUCAUACCCGAGUGCUUGAAGGGGUCGAUUUUUAUGAAUGCCGUCCUUAUUAAGGAACACUUAUACAUGAGUAUCUUUAAAAAUCAAGCCGUUGUAUUUUCACGCUAACAGAAAAGGACACACCGGAAAUUAGUUACCAUUACGAUUUCCUCGUUAAGAUGGAUUUUGAAGUGCCCAUCUUGGUUAUUUACUAAAUCUUUAAUACGUGUAUUGUUUGUUUUCUCAAACUCUUACACCGUGUGUUCUUUACAAUUUCCUGUCAAAAUUCACUUGUCAUUAUAAGCCUAUAUAUCUGUUUUAUCUAUGUAUGGAUUAAGGUUUUAAAGUUUAUGGUUUAUCAUUUAAGAUAACCGAUUACAAAAUUUACAUUUCACUGUUUCAGCUUUUACAAAUAGAGAAAUGCAAAGUAAAAAAUCACA
rnacentral:sRNA from 1 species